UGACGAGUGGCGGACGGGUGAGUAAUGCUUGGGAACUUGCCUUUGCGAGGGGGAUAACAGUUGGAAACGACUGCUAAUACCGCAUAAUGUCUACGGACCAAACGGGGCUUAGGCUCCGGCGCAAAGAGAGGCCCAAGUGAGAUUAGCUAGUUGGUAAGGUAAAGGCUUACCAAGGCAACGAUCUCUAGCUGUUCUGAGAGGAAGAUCAGCCACACUGGGACUGAGACACGGCCCAGACUCCUACGGGAGGCAGCAGUGGGGAAUAUUGCACAAUGGGGGAAACCCUGAUGCAGCCAUGCCGCGUGUGUGAAGAAGGCCUUCGGGUUGUAAAGCACUUUCAGUUGUGAGGAAAAGUUAGUAGUUAAUACCUGCUAGCCGUGACGUUAACAACAGAAGAAGCACCGGCUAACUCCGUGCCAGCAGCCGCGGUAAUACGGAGGGUGCGAGCGUUAAUCGGAAUUACUGGGCGUAAAGCGCACGCAGGCGGUUUGUUAAGCUAGAUGUGAAAGCCCCGGGCUCAACCUGGGAUGGUCAUUUAGAACUGGCAGACUAGAGUCUUGGAGAGGGGAGUGGAAUUCCAGGUGUAGCGGUGAAAUGCGUAGAUAUCUGGAGGAACAUCAGUGGCGAANGCGACUCCCUGGNCAAAGACUGACGCUCAUGUGCGAAAGUGUGGGUAGCGAACAGGAUUAGAUACCCUGGUAGUCCACACCGUAAACGCUGUCUACUAGCUGUUUGUGACUUUAAGUCGUGAGUAGCGAAGCUAACGCGCUAAGUAGGACCG
rnacentral:rRNA from 1 species